rnacentral:rRNA from 1 species
UACGUAGGGGGCAAGCGUUGUCCGGAUUUAUUGGGCGUAAAGAGCGUGUAGGCGGCCACACAGGUCUGCUGUGAAAACUCGAGGCUCAACCUCGAGCUGUCGGUGGAAACCGUGUGGCUAGAGUCCGGAAGAGGAGAGUGGAAUUCCCGGUGUAGCGGUGAAAUGCGCAGAUAUCGGGAAGAACACCCGUGGCGAAGGCGGCUCUCUGGGACGGUACUGACGCUGAGACGCGAAAGCGUGGGGUGCGAACAGG